CGGGCGUGCCUAACACAUGCAAGUCGUACGAGAAAGUCGGCUUCGGCUGAUGAGUAAAGUGGCGCACGGGUGAGUAACGCGUGGAUAAUCUGCCCUUGAGUGUGGAAUAACGUACCGAAAGGUGCGCUAAUACCGCAUAAUGCCUGGCAACACAAGUUGUCCGGCCAAAGAAGGCCUCUGUUUACAAGCUUUUGCUCAAGGAUGAGUCCGCGUACCAUUAGCUAGUUGGUGGGGUAACGGCCUACCAAGGCUACGAUGGUUAGCUGGUCUGAGAGGAUGAUCAGCCACACUGGAACUGAGACACGGUCCAGACUCCUACGGGAGGCAGCAGUGAGGAAUAUUGCGCAAUGGGGGCAACCCUGACGCAGCAACGCCGCGUGAGUGAGGAAGGUUUUCGGACUGUAAAGCUCUGUCGAGCGGGAAGAAAUGUACCAUGGCUAAUAUCCAUGAUAUUUGACGGUACCGCUAGAGGAAGCACCGGCUAACUCCGUG
rnacentral:rRNA from 1 species